AUGAACGCAGCGGCAGGCUUAACACAUGCAAGUCGAGGGGCAUCGAGAGUAGCAAUACUUGUCGGCGACCGGCGCAAGGGUGCGUAACACGUGAGCAACAUACCCUAAUCAGGAGGAUAACCGGAGGAAACUCUGCCUAAUACUCCAUAAUAUCAUCUUAUGGCAUCAUGAAAUGAUAAAAGAUUUAUCGGAUUCGGAUUGGCUCGCGGGACAUUAGCUAGUUGGCGAGGUAACGGCUCACCAAGGCUACGAUGUCUAGGGGUUCUGAGAGGAAGGUCCCCCACACUGGAACUGAGACACGGUCCAGACUCCUACGGGAGGCAGCAGUGAGGAAUAUUGGACAAUGGUCGGAAGACUGAUCCAGCCAUGCCGCGUGAAGGUUACUGUCCUAUGGAUAUUAAACUUCUUUUUUACGGGAGCAAUAAGGUGCACGCGUGCAUCGAUGAGAGUACCGUACGAAUAAGCAUCGGCUAACUCCGUG
rnacentral:rRNA from 1 species